rnacentral:rRNA from 1 species
UACGAAGGGGGGCUAGCGUUGUUCGGAAUUACUGGGCGUAAAGCGCGCGCAGGCGGUUCGAUAAGUUGGGGGUGAAAUCCCCGGGCUCAACCCGGGAAUGGCCUUCAAGACUGUCGAUCUUGAGGACGAGAGAGGUGAGUGGAAUUCCCAGUGUAGAGGUGAAAUUCGUAGAUAUUGGGAAGAACACCGGUGGCGAAAGCGGCUCACUGGACCAUAACUGACGCUGAUGCACGAAAGCUGGGGGAGCAAACAGG